CAUGGGACCUUUAAAGGCCACCAGGAUGAGACAAGAAGUCCAGAACGUUGCUUUCGGCCUUAUAUAAUGGAUGUCUUGAACUAGGCACCUCAAUCUGCGUAGUGUCUGCCCUGAAAGCCUGCAAUUUCUCAGCUGCUAGCCUUCCAAAGCUGUCUCUCCAUACAAAAGGCAUUCCAAUGGAGCAGAGCUUGUUUCUUGGUAAUCAAAGGCCACGUCUGAUUCAGGUCUGGCUGCUUACAUUCUGUGUUCUGCUUUUGCUCAGGACUGGUGACGCUGUGAAAUGCAGACUGUGCUCUUCAAAGGGGCCUGGCAAGCCAUGCGAACCGAAGGAGAAGACAUGUAUGGGACCAUUCUGCCUGAAGAUAGAAAUAUUUUCAGGACAAAAUGGCAAAUUGACUAAUUACGUCAAAGAAUGUGGUGAAGACAGUUCGAAAAAACUCUGUGGGACAGAGGUGACAUCGGGAGAUAAAAAGAAAGUAUCAUGCUGUAAUAGCGACUUAUGUUUUGACUGAUCUUACUAUUCUAUUCUAAAGUUGUUUUCGCCUAUCCAUGUAAAAGGGUGGAUAACGAAUCUUUCCCCUUUGAUAGACAUAAUAUUAGAACGUUUCAUAUCAUUUCCUUUCGAUGGAGCCCAGGUCUUCCUCCUGGCAUUGCAAUUCAAAUGACAGACAAAAGCCCCAUGCAGACAUUCUGAUGCCACGUCUAAUAAUUCAGGGAAUGUUCCACACCCAACAGCCUCCCGUGCUCACUCAUUUAUGCACUCCUUCACUGUCUGAUAUUUUGAAAAGUAAGUUCCUCUUGCAAAAGUGCAUAAUUGACUUGGGUAUUGGGGUGGAAUGGGUCAUUUCUUGGAGAGUUGAUGGACAUGUACCAAGCAGUGAUUUGCACUGUCUAUAGGAUUUGUGGGUCUCUUUAUCACUCCCCAUCCCUGCUUGAACUUGGCAAAUCACAGAAGAUGUUAUCAACUACAAUAACCUGUGCUAGGGAUGGUGACAAUUCCUGUCUUCCUGGAGCUCAUGGAACCCUGUUCUUCCCAACAUCUCCUUGGUUGGAGAGUUUGAAUGUUUUCUGUUCUCUUUCUUGAACAUUGCAAUGAAACUGGAAUGUAGGAAAGCUUUUAAGUAGUUUGGACUGGUGG